CCUAGGCAGGAAGCACAGUUCAUAUUUAUGGAACAGAACGGGACAGCUAGAUGCUUUGGUUCUUUGGGGGAAGUAUUUAGCCUAACCCAAUCACAACAUAUAUAUUUUCUAACUCAGGGAUUCAUGAGUUAUUUUCAUAGAUUGCUCAUGGUUAUUACCGAAGGUUGCUCUGUCUCUUUGAAACCAAAAGCUAUAAAGAACUACAGAUUCUCUUCCUCCUAAACCAAUUCUAGUCCAUGCACAUAACAAAAGAUCAAAAUACAUCGAGCAAAAACUGAAAGAACUGAAAGAAGAGACAGAUAAACAAAGCAACUUUGAAAAAGAUGUAAAACGUUAGAGGCUUUAAAAUAUUUUAUUAUUAUUAUUUUUAGCAGAGGUGAGGUCUUGCUAUGGCACCCAGGCUGGUCUCAAACUCCCAGGCUCAAGCAAUCCUCUCACUGACAUGUGACCCGGUCAUUCCACUUCUAUUAAUAGGUGUUUACCAGAAAAGAAAGCAUAGACCCACACAAAGACUUGUAUGCACAAAUUAAUAGUUUUAUUUGCAAUAAAUUAUUGAUAAACUUUACAACAUGUGUGAAUCCAAAAAUACCUAUGUUGAGUGAAAGAAGCAAGACAAGAAAACAGGUGGGGCGUGGUGGCUCAUGCCUGUCAUCCCAGCACUUUGGGAGGCCGAGGCAGGUGGAUCACGAGGUGGCGUGAACCCGGGAAGUGGAGCUUGCAGUGAGCUGAGAUCGCGCCGCUGCACUCCAGCCUGGGUGACAGAGCAAGAAUCCGUCUCAAAAAAAAAAAAAAAAAAAAGACUAGAAAAGAGUAUAUAUUAUAGAAUUCUUGUAAUUGCUAAUCUCGGCCCAUUGCAACCUCCGCCUUCCAGGUUCAAAUGAUUCUCCUGCCUCAGCCUCCUGAGUAGCUGGGAUUACAGGACUGUGCCACCACACCUGGCUAAUUUUUGUAUUUUUAGUAGAGACAAGGUUUCCCCACGUUGGCCAGGCUGGUCUUGAACUCCUGACCUCAAGUGAUCCACCCACCUCGGCCUCCCAAAGUGCUGGGAUUACAGGCGUGAGCCACCAUGCCC
rnacentral:lncRNA from 1 species